rnacentral:lncRNA from 1 species
GCCCAACCAAAUCGUUGUUCAGCAGUUUCAACAGCUUCUUGAUAUGAAAAGUACCAUGAAAUUCCAAAGAAGGUGAAUAUUAAUGCUAAGAUUAGUAGAACAGGAUAUGGGAGGGGACUCAGAGUGAAACCAUCUAAAACUUGUGAGGUUUUGGUUCUAUCAUAAGCCAUUGAGUUUAUGGAAUUGUUUUGGUAUCAGAAUUCAGUAUAUGAUAAGGGUUAAUGGCAUGGUGAUACAUAUCAGAAUAUGUCACUAUGUCAGUGUCAUUUAUUUAUGAGUGUAAAAUAUAUACAUAUGUACUUCAUCAUUCACCGUUCAUUUAGAUUACCUUUUCUGAAAAGCCAACAAUAAUAAAAAACCAAUAAUGAUGAUACAAUGAUAGUGUAUAAAACUCAUACACGGUCAGAGAUACAUCUUUUUCUCUUUAUUUAUUAAAUGUUUAAUUGGUUGAUUUUGACAUGGUGGUAGGUUUGGAUAUGAAUGCUCAUAAUUGUCGUUGCUUCAGCACUCAAAUUAAGACACGUUUCAGUUUUGUUACUUAUUUCUUGAAAUAGUUAAUGCAACACAGUGAACAUGUAGUCGGCAUCAAAGACAAAGAAAACUGUACAAUAAUGCAUGGUAAUAAUAGGAUUAAACUAAUCGACCUCAUGAAAAGAGGGCAAACCCAACCUGUCCCAUGAAGCAUAUAUUCGUCGAGUAUCUAAAAAUUAAAAAAUAAAAUAAAUCAAUAUUAAGAUACGCAUAAUAUUCGUUUUCAAUAAAACAUAAGAUAAUAUAUAUUCGUUUUGAAUAAAAUAAGAUAAAAUAGACUUGUUUUCAAUAAACAUCAACUUAUUUAAAGGCCACAAAAAUUCAUACCAACAUAUCGUCACAGCGCAUUGACUCUGAUAGCCGGUCCACCAUACUGACUCUCUGAUUCAUAACAUUGUCAUCAAGGAGGAGAUGAAAUUGACAAUAUUUCUUUUUCUAUACAAUACCAAGAUCAAAGCAGCAACACCCCAUGGAGAAUUUCCUUCUGAUGAACUCUCAUAAGUCCUCAUGGGUCUUUGCCAUGCCCACAAACCAGAGAACCAAGCUGAAUUUUCCAUUGAUGAUAACCAACGAACUAAGAGUAUUAGCAGCACUGGAGUUGCAAAUAAUGCCCAACCAAAUCGUUGUUCAGCAGUUUCAACAGCUUCUUGAUAUGAAAAGUACCAUGAAAUUCCAAAGAAGGUGAAUAUUAAUGCUAAGAUUAGUAGAACAGGAUAUGGGAGGGGACUCAGAGUGAAACCAUCUAAAACUUGUGAGGUUUUGGUUCUAUCAUAAGCCAUUGAGUUUAUGGAAUUGUUUUGGUAUCAGAAUUCAGUAUAUGAUAAGGGUUAAUGGCAUGGUGAUACAUAUCAGAAUAUGUCACUAUGUCAGUGUCAUUUAUUUAUGAGUGUAAAAUAUAUACAUAUGUACUUCAUCAUUCACCGUUC